rnacentral:rRNA from 1 species
GAUGAACGCUGGCGGCGUGCCUAAUACAUGCAAGUCGAGCGAACGGACGAGAAGCUUGCUUCUCUGAUGUUAGCGGCGGACGGGUGAGUAACACGUGGAUAACCUACCUAUAAGACUGGGAUAACUUCGGGAAACCGGAGCUAAUACCGGAUGAUAUUUUGAACCGCAUGGUUCAAAAGUGAAAGACGGUCUUGCUGUCACUUAUAGAUGGAUCCGCGCUGCAUUAGCUAGUUGGUAAGGUAACGGCUUACCAAGGCAACGAGUCAUAGCCGACCUGAGAGGGUGAUCGGCCACACUGGAAGUGGGACACGGUCCAGACUCCUACGGGAGGCAGCAGUAGGGAAUCUUACGCAAUGGGCGAAAGCCUGACGGAGCAACGCCGAGUGAGUGAUGACGGUCUUCGGAUCGUAAAACUCUGUUAUUAGGGAAGAACAGAUGUGUAAGUAACUGUGCACAUCUUGACGGUACCUAAUCAGAAAGCCACGGCUAACUACGUG